rnacentral:rRNA from 1 species
GACGAACGCUGGCGGCGUGCCUAAUACAUGCAAGUCGAGCGGACAGAUAAGGAGCUUGCUCCUUUGAAGUCAGCGGCGGACGGGUGAGUAACACGUGGGCAACCUGCCUAUAAGACUGGGAUAACUCCGGGAAACCGGGGCUAAUACCGGAUAGAUUCUUUCCUCUCAUGAGGAAAGAAGGAAAGAUGGUUUCGGCUAUCACUUAUAGAUGGGCACGCGGCGCAUUAGCUAGUUGGUAAGGUAACGGCUUACCAAGGCGACGAUGCGUAGCCGACCUGAGAGGGUGAUCGGCCACACUGGGACUGAGACACGGCCCAGACUCCUACGGGAGGCAGCAGUAGGGAAUCUUCCGCAAUGGACGAAAGUCUGACGGAGCAACGCCGCGUGAACGAAGAAGGCCUUCGGGUCGUAAAGUUCUGUUGUUAGGGAAGAACAAGUACGAUAGUAACUGAUCGUACCUUGACGGUACCUAACCAGAAAGCCACGGCUAACUACGUGCCAGCCGCCGCGGUAACAC